CUUUUGAUUUAUAUUCUGAAAUGGCUGCAAAGAGAAUUUCUCCUAAUGUUGUCACUUAUAGUGCUUUAAUUAGUGGAUUUUGCAUUGUUGGUAAAUUGAAAGAUGCAAUUGAUUUGUUUAAUAAAAUGAUAUUGGAAAACAUCAAUCCGAAUGUGUAUACCUUUAGUAUAUUGGUUGAUGGAUUUUGUAAGGAAGGAAGGGUGAAAGAAGCUAAAAAUGUGUUAGCUAUGAUGAUGAAACAAGGCAUUAAACCUGAUGUUGUUACUUACAGCUCUUUAAUGGAUGGAUAUUGUCUGGUAAAUGAAGUGAACAAGGCCGAGAGUAUAUUCAACACUAUGUCUCAUAGGGGAGUGACUGCUAAUGUUCAGAGCUACAGUAUCAUGAUUAAUGGAUUUUGUAAGAUUAAAAUGGUGGAUGAAGCCAUGAAACUUUUCAAAGAAAUGCAUCACAAACAAAUUUUUCCUGAUGUGAUAACUUAUAGUGCCCUUAUCGAUGGAUUGUGCAAAUCUGGAAGAAUAUCAUAUGCUUUGGAACUUGUCGAUGAGAUGCAUGAUCGAGGGCAACAACCUGAUAUAAUUACCUACAAUUCUAUAUUGGAUGCUUUAUGCAAAAAACAUCAUGUUGACAAAGCAAUUGCAUUAUUAACAAAAUUGAAAGGCCAAGGUAUUCGACCAGAUAUGAACACAUACACUAUUCUUGUCAAGGGAUUGUGCCGAAGUGGAAAAUUGGAGGAUGCACGAAAAGUUUUUGAAGAUCUUUUGGUCAAAGGCUACAAUCUUGAUGUCUAUGCAUAUACCGUUAUGAUCCAAGGGUUUUGUGACAAGGGCUUGUUUGACGAAGCGUUGGCCUUGCUGUCAAAAAUGGAAGAGAAUGGAUGCAUUCCAGAUGCUAAAACUUAUGAAAUAAUUAUCCUUUCUCUGUUCGAAAAAGAUGAAAAUGAUAUGGCAGAGAAACUUCUUCGUGAAAUGAUCAUGCGAGGUCUAUUGUAAGAUUGAAACUAUUUGAUAGCAUCAUUUCAUUUUAUGUACUUGCCUCUACUGGUGGAAAAGAAACAUUUUUUUAUUGUUUUUGUUAACUGUGUUUACCAAAACCUUUAUACUUCUUGUAUAUCUUCCAUUUUGAUUUCUCUAUAUGAUAUUGUCUUACCUCAUUGAGAGUUCCAUCAAUCAAUGAUGAAAGUUGUGCACCGUCUUAUCUGAAGAUUUGGAUGUUAGUAUACCUUUCUGCUUUGAAUUACAUUUAUUUAUUUAUCUUGAGUGAAACAUUGAAUGAUCUGAACUAUUAUAUAGACUAAUUUCGAUGAAAGGGUUGCCUUAACAGAUGAUUUGGUAGCCAGCAUAUUGGUAAGAAGGACUUGGUGUGCUCGUUUAGCUAAAUGAAAUUGCUGCAUAAUGAGUAUCUGUGGCCCCAUUACAGCUUCCAUAAAAUAUAGUUGUCCCCGCAGAAUUUGUUUUGCUGCAUAAUUCUAAUUUUUCCAGUAGUGAGACAGAAUUUCUUAAUCAUAAUUGAACUUAAGAAGUACCAGUUGUACGAAAACAGGGUGAUUACGAUUUGGCAUGUUGAGCCUAUAUUAUGGAUUCUAAAUUGAAUUGGCACAAAACAAGUAACUUCAUUUAUUUUAUCUUGGUUAUACUUGUACUUCUAUAUAAUUCUAAUCUUAGGAAGCUAACUAUUUUAGAAUGCUAAACAACAGAGGCAAGCUUGACUUAGAAAAUAGAAACCAUAACAUGACUUUGUUCAUAUUGGUUGGUUGGUUUUGAUUAGUCGGCAGAUGGUAGUUACUUCAUAGUUACACGGUUGGUCUUUUCUGGUACAAAGUUUUUUGUGUUGUUGAAGAUUAGUUAUUUUCAUAUGUUAAAAACAGUUUUUGCGCACAAAUGAACUUAGAGAAGUGAUACAAUGACCGAAACUCUCUCUUCUCUCUCCUCAAACACUCCUUUCCAGUGACUUGGCUCUUCUCCGGUGGGGUAUCCUCCUCGUUUUCACUUGGUAACAUCUCAUUUUUCUGCUGUUUCUGUCCAAUUGAUUAGAUUCAUCUUUUGUUCAAAGAUAGUUCUGGUAGGCCUUAUGGGUUACCUUCAUUUCUCUGCUUCUAAGAGUCAUUGAGUUGAAACCAGGUUUUGAUAUUUCUGAUGAAGGAAAAGCAGUGGUUGCUGCUGCUAUUGAAUUGCUUCAUAAUCAAGUCAUGCAAUAGUUUCUUUUUCCAGGGUGACGGUUCUUUGUGCUGCCAUUCAUUAGUUGUUAUAAGAAAUUAAGUUUGGCGAUUUUGCUAGCGAUAUUAUUAUAAUAUCUGGAAUGUAUAUGUACAAUAUCUUUUUUUUGUGUUAAAUAGGACUUAAUUAAUUGUGAGGGGAUUAGUAUGUGAUUAACUUUAAUAGUGUAAGUUUCAUUGUGGAGGAUAUAAAAGAACUACAAGCAUAUUAUCAUAUCUUGACAUUGUGAAGAAUUUAAUAUCUAAUGGAAAAUUUCACACAUGGUGGCUAAAAUAGUUGUGCAAGCAUCAUUAUUACUAUCAGAUAAACUACUUGUAUUAGACAUAAUAUCUCCAAUCAGUUUACAUGAUCCUUCACCUAUGACAACAAAAAAAUUUCCACAUAAUUUUUUUUAUCAUAAACUAGACGAUAAAUAGUUGUCCACAACAUUAGUCUUAAUGUAUUCAUCCAUAAAACAAUUAGUUUUUCUUUUCAUUUCUUGAAUGUAGAAUAUAGAGUAUAGAUACUUUGAGUGGUUUGGUUAAAAUUUUAAAAUAAUUCCUAUUGAAUUCAUGAUUUUUGAUACAAAACAAUCCAACAUUACUCUUUUUAUAGAUUAGAUAAGCUGUUAUAGUAAGCAUCUUGAAUUCUUAGGGUUAUGACUUAUGAUUGCUUCUUUUCUGUUUAUUCAUAUUGUUCAUGUUGCAAUCUAGAUUAGCUAACGUAGUUGGUAGUUGUUGUUACAGGGGCAAGAAAGAUUGGAUUCAAAGGUCAGGUGUAGUGGUCUGGAUGUGGCUUUGAGACUGGUAUGUUUUGUUGGUUAUAAGCGUUAUACUUGAAGUAGAAGCUUUCAUCGUUCCCGUAUGUUAGUUUUAAUUUUUAGCUACUGGUAUGUUUUACUCUUUUGGGUUAAUUCAAGUAGAAUUCGAGUUUUUACAAUGGUUUUGUAAGCUACACCUUUUUCGGUUUUGUUAAUUUAAUGUAUUCUUUGGUGUAGGGUUGUGUUCUUGCGGCAGCUACUUGGAAGAUCGAUGGCUUUGAGUGUGCAGAAGCUGCAUAAACAUUUUCUAUGUACAAAGUGAUGCAGCUAACGAUGGAAUGCUGCUUGAGAUCUGUAAUAUUUGAAAGUGAUUGUGAAUGUUUAAUCAAAAUAAUUAACGAAGAGUUGGAAGAACCUAGGAACUAUGUUUGUAAAAUUGUAAGAGGCAUCAAAGUUCUGAGCAGGAAGUUCAGUAGGUGUCAUUUUUUGUUAGAAGGACAGGAAAUUGUGUGUCUCAUAACAUGGCACAAUUAGCUUUAUUUUAGCCCAAUAUAGUGUGGCUUGAGGAAAUUCAUGAGUAAAUGUUCACAUGAAAGUGAGUUUAACAAUUAUGGUAGUUUUACCUUUGUGUAUUUCUCUACCCCUAUUUUUCAUCCUUAAUUAUUUCGAAGUUUAUAUUUUGUUUUGCAAUCGAUUAACAUAUUUUGGUUCUUUGUUUUUGUUUUUCAAUUUUUUCCAGUGCUGCUAAAAGUCUGGUGUCAGUGUCGAUGUUGCGGUGGUUCGAGCUGUUGUGCACCUAUGGUAUUAUCUCCCAUGAAAGUUUCUAAUAAGUUGCAGUCGUAUGGUUUCAUCUACUUUAUUAAUAUCGUGUAUAUUUUCUAUAGAAGCUUAUAUAGAGUUUGCUUGGUGAGUUUAUCAAAACCACAAUGAGUCGCCGUGAUUUAGAAAAAGGUGUAGCUUUUAUAGUGACUUUGUCAAAGCUUAUUUUCUAUUGUUGCUGUUCUUUUCUACAUAAUACACUUCUGUUAUGUUUGCACUUUAUACUUCAGUAUAGAUAGUCAAAGUGUCUGUUUGGUGUAGCUUUUUUCACUACCAAACGACGUUUGCCAUCCUUCACCGUGGUUUUUUCACUUUGCAGCAUGUUUGGUUACCUUUUCCAAAAUCAAUUCAACCUUCCAAAAUCAAUUCUACAAGAAGCUACAAAUCUCAGCUUCUACGGUGAGGCUUAAAUCAAUUCUGCCUUUAUUGUUUGUUGAUAGUUAGAUAACUCACUUUAUUCCAUCUUUGCCCUCACUUCCAUCUUUUUAUCUUUUUCUUAGAUCUGUCUCGUUCUUAAAUUUCUCUUCCUCUUGUAUAACCCGUUUCAAUCUCUACGUUUUCUCUCAUCUUCAUUGUUUACUCUAGUCCAUAAAAAUUAAUAUUUGAGAAAUUUAAUUUUUUGACGUCAAGCUUCCAGCAAGUUCUUCUUUUUGUGUUACAAGUUCUAGCAAAUUCUUGUGUGCUUCUCUCUAUUAUACCCUUGUUAAAAACUGAACAUGCUAGUAAUUUGACGAAAAUAUAUUAAACUAUGGCUUUGAAGUUUAUGGAAAAAUUGAAUGUUCUAAACUUUUUUUAAAUAUUGUUUUUGUAAAAUUUGUUGAAAAUAUAUUAAUACUUUUUAAAAAUUUGUAAAAUUUGUCUCAAAGGUGACAUCCAUCAAGCAUUGCACUUUCAUGAUAAGGUUAUUGCGAUGGGAUUUCAUUUGGACAAAGUUGGUUAUGGAACCUUGAUUAAUGGCUUGUGUAAAGUUGGUGAAACAAAAGCAGCCCUUGAAUUGCUCCGACGAGUUGAUGGAAAAUUGGUUCAGCCUGAUGUGGUAAUGUACAAUACCAUUAUCGAUGGUAUGUGUAAAGAUAAACAUGUUAAUGAUGCUUUUGAUUUAUAUUCUGAAAUGGCUUCUAAGAGAAUUUUCCCCGAUGUUUUCACUUACAAUGCUUUAAUUAGUGGCUUUUGCAUUGUUGGUAAAUUGAAAGAUGCAACUGAUUUAUUCAAUAAAAUGACAUCGAAAAACAUCAACCCAACUGUGUAUACUUUUAAUAUAUUGGUUGAUGCAUUUUGUAAGGAAGGAAACGUAAAAGAGGCUAAAAAUGUGUUAGCUAUGAUGAUGAAACAAGGCAUCAAUCCUAAUGCUGUUACUUAUAGCUCUUUAAUGGAUGGAUAUUGCCUAGUUAAUGAAGUGAACAAUGCCAAGGGUAUAUUCAGCACUAUGUCUCUUAGGGGAGUGACUGCUAAUGUUUGGAGCUACAAUAUCAUGAUUAAUGGAUUUUGUAAGAUUAAAAUGACCGAUGAAGCCAUGAAUCUCUUUGAAGAAAUGCAUUGUAGAAAACUAAUUCCUGAUGUGGUAACUUACAAUUCCCUUAUCAAUGGUUUGUGCAAAUCGGGGAAAAUCUCUUAUGCUUUGAAGCUAGUCGAUGAGAUGCAUGAUAGAGGUCAACCACCUGAUAUAAUUACUUACAGUUCUUUAUUAGAUGCUUUAUGCAAAAACCAUCAGGUUGACAAGGCAAUUGCGUUAUUAACAAAUUUGAAAGACCAGGGUAUUCGACCAAAUAUGUACACAUACACUAUUCUUAUUGAUGGACUGUGUAAAGGUGGAAGACUAGAGGAUGCACAUAAUAUUUUUGAGGAUCUUUUGGUCAAAGGCUAUAAUAUAACUGUCAACACAUAUACCGUUAUGAUCCAUGGGUUUUGUAACAAGGGCUUGUUUGAUGAAGCAUUGGCUUUGUUGUCAAAAAUGAAAGACAAUAGUUGCUUUCCAAAUGCCUUAACUUAUGAAAUAAUCAUCCGUUCUCUGUUUGAUAAUGAUGAAAAUGAUAAGGCGGAGAAUCUUCUUCGUGAAAUGAUUACGAGAGGCCUAUUGUAAGACUGAAACUAGGUAAGCUGUAUUCUAUUUAUCUAUUAUUAUAUUGUAUUUAUAUUUAAGCAUAUAGAGUGUACUAAGUUAUGAAAGUCGCACCUAAUUUUGACAAACGACUGUAUAUAAUCAUGGAGUGAAAUUAAAAUAAACUUAUUUUGUUAGUAUGAGGUUGCAGAACUUUUGGAAUCUGCAUGAUGUGUGCUUUUUAGAUACUUUCCUAUAAGGAAAGGUGAAGAGAAGUAUUGAAAGGUUAAUAGUGAUCUGUAAAGUCUAGGGAGGACUUCUUUUCCCCUCUCCAAUACCUUAUGAGAUGCUAGUAUAAAUUGAACUAUGAUAGGUAGUCACCAGGUAUGAGUGGAUGUGCAUUGUUUGAUUUUUGGGCACAUUUUGCAUUGAUGGGAAAAGGUUCAACAUUAUCUGAGUAUCAUUUCUAUUGAAUACCUCAUUUCCCACAGUUAUGCAAAGUUAUUUUGAUUUGCGAAAGGUAAGUUUGAACAUGGCUGAAUCCAAGUCUGAGCUUUUGAGGUCUGUCAUAUUCUGCAUAUACUCAUUCUGCACUCUUAGACUUACAGCCUCUAGGCCAGCAACAACUGUGAUUUGAUAUGCGUUUUGGUGAGAUUUGCAAUGUGCAUCAAGCCAUGAGCUGCGACCAUGAGAAGUUAUUAAAUCUUUCCUAGGCUUGCUUCUUAUUCAAGUAAACUAAUUCCUAGAAUUCGAGAAAUCUAUCAGCAUACAAAAGAUGAGUAGAUUUAGAAAAUAGUGUACAAAUUUGGUUUUACGAAACAACUUUUAGUCUUCACUCUUCACUUCAGUGUAACCUAUCCAUUUUGUUUCGCUUGACUCCUGGUAUUAUUGAUUAUGCAUUUUGCAUAGAAUCAGUAAAGGAAUCGAGAAACCAGUAUGGUUCUUCACAUUUCCAGAGGGUGUGUUGAUCAAGUGGCGCCUAUUCGAGAUAUUUUCUCAUUUUUCAGUUUUUGUUCACAGUUUCUUUCUUUCACUGCCUAAAACUAAAAUCCUAUUAUUUGGAUACUUUUUACAAUUUGGGGGCCUUUGUAGGAACCCGUUUCACCUCUGUGGCUCAGUUAUAUCUCCGUCGAUUUUCUAUACAUUUUUCAUACACCAAUUGUUUUAUACUGAAAUAUGUUUAUGCAAUAAAAAAACAAUUUUACUAAUCUUUGAUGAUCCAAGAGCAGCAGAGGAGUAAGUUGAGUAGAAAUCUGAAACAUUAAAUUUGUCUCAAUAUUCCUAGUUUCUGCACUAUGUAUCUUGCAUUAAUUGUACUUAAAAUUUAAGAGCUUAUCGCAUGUGGUAAGUGGAUUUUGCAUUGUUGGUAAAAUGAAAGAUGCAAUUGAUUGUUUUAAUAAAAUGAUAUUGGAAAACAUCAAUCCGAAUGUGUAUACCUUUAACAUAAUGGUUGAUGGAUUUUGUAAGGAAGGAAGGGUGAAAGAAGCUAAAAAUGUGUUAGCUAUGAUGAUGAAACGAGACAUCAAACUUAAUGUUGUUACUUAUAACUCUUUAAUGGAUGGAUAUUGCCUAGUUAAACAAGUGAAUAAGGAUAAGAGUGUGUUUGGAUGAGGUAAUUUGAAAUUUUUUAAAGAAUUUAAAAUUCUAGGCAAUUAACCUCAAAGUAUUUGAAUUCCUUCAUAACAUUACAUUUCUUCAAUAUUACAUUACAUUCCCCCAUCCAAAUAAUGGAAUUCACAUCAAAGUAUUUGAAUUCCCUCAAAACAUUACAUUCCAUCAAAACAUUCCUCCAUCCAAACACACUCUAAGGGUUUAUUCAACACUAUGGCCUCAAAGGGAGUAACUAAUGUUCCAAGCUACAAUACAAUGAUUAAUGGGUUUUGUAAGAUUAAAAAAGUCGAUGAAGCCAUGAAUCUCUUUAAAGAAAUGCAUUGCAAAAACAUUAUUCCUAAUGUGGUGACUUACAAUUCUCUUAUUGAUGGUUUAAGCAAAUCAGGGAUAAUCUCAUAUGUUUUGCAGCUUGUCGAUCAGAUGCAUGAUAGAGGUGUACCACCUAAUAUAGUCACUUACAAUUCUAUAUUAGAUGCUUUAUGCAAAACCCAUCAGGUUGACAAAACAAUUGCAUUGUCAACGAAAUUUAAAGACCAGAGUAUUCAACCAAAUGUGUAAACAUACACUAUUCUUAUUGAUGGAUUGUGCAAAGGUGGAAGACUAAAGGAUGCACGGAAUAUUUUUGAGGAUCUUUUAGUCAAGGGCUAUAAUGUAACUGUUAACACAUAUACCGUUAUGAUUCAAGGGUUUUGUAGCCAUGGCUUGUUUGAUGAAUCAUUGGCUUUGCUGUCAAAAAUGGAAGAAAAUGGUUGCAUUUCAAACGCCGUAACUUAUGAAAUAAUCAUCCGUUCUCUGUUUGCUAACGAUGAAAUGAUUACGAGAGACUUAUUGUAAAACUGAAACUAGGUAAGAUGUUUUCUAUUUAUCUAUUGUUAUAUUGUAUUUAUAUUUAAGCAUAAAGAAUGUACUAAGUUAUGAAAGUCGCACCUAAUUUUGACAAAUGACAUUACGGAGUGAAAUUAAAAAAACUUAUUUUGUUAGUAUGAGGUUACAGAUCUUUUGGAAUCUGCAUGAUGUUUGUUUUUUUGUUUUUCUAUAAGGAAAGGUGAAGAGAAGUAAUGAAAGGCUAAUAGUGAUCGGUAAAGUCUAGGGAGGACUGGUUUUUUGUUCAGCGGCCUUUUUCAACUAGCCAUUUGAGAUGUCACAACCCAUAUUCUAUCAAUCAUCUAUUCCUCUAUGAUAACUAGUUCUUAGUUAGUUGGAGUUUCAGGAACAUUGUGAGUAAGAGUAAUGCAAAAAGUUCAUUCCUUUCUAUUUUGGAUUGUAAUAUUCCUAUGCAAACUCUAAAUUCUUCUAUCAAUUAUUGUAGUUAUGUUUUCAUUCAUUUUUUAUAAUAUUUUUGUUUUUGCGUUUAAGCUCGUCAUGAGCUAAACCUACUUUGUCGUUAAUACAUGAUGAGGUUAUGAUUAUGUUUGGCAUAAGUUUGGUUAGUUGUAUGUACUAAAGCUCAUUUUAAACAAGUUGUAUUAGCCAUAAUCUUUAAAGUAAAACUUGAUCACUUUUAUAUUUAAUACCAAAUUCUCUGAGCUCGAUGGAUGAUGGGAAUGGAACUACUUGUUUAAUAUGAAAAAUGUUUUAAUGCUCUAGAGAGAUAAAACCUUGAAAGGCAACUUGAAUGUUUGUAUAGAUUUCUUGUUAUAGGAUAAAGACUUAUUAACCUUUCCAAAGAGAGAAAUGGUUAAGAUCUAACCUUAAUAUUGUUGCAUGGUUAACUUGGCCAUCCCGAAUAUCGAAAGAGUAGCAGGACUUUGAUCCUAAUAAUAUAUAGGCUUAAUUACACUUUUGUUCCUUACAUUUUGACUAACUUACGAAAUUGAUCAUACCUCUUUUAAACCGAACAAAAGCGUCCCUAAACUAUAUGUUUUUUACAAUUUUAAUUCUAUCUCCCUAUUUCCAACUCCAGAAACGCACAUAAAUGACAGUUUUAGUCCAACCACCUAUGCUCAACCAUGAAAUAAACAAGGAAUAAAUCAUGUGGGUACAAGGAAUCUACUUUGUUCAGCACACAAACCAAGAAAAAUCCUAAUUUCUAAGACAUGUUUCAGGCAUGUAACAUGUCUCGGAAAUUAGGUUAGUGUGCUGAAUAAAGUAGAUUCCUUGUACCCACAUGUUUUAUUCUUUGUUUAUUUCAUGGUUGAGUAUAGGUGGUUGGACUAAAACUAUCAUUUCUGUGCGUUUCUGGAGUUGGAAAUAGGGAGAUAGGACUAAAACUGCAAAAAACAUAUAGUUUAAGGACGAUUUUGUUCAAUUUAAAUAAAUAAAAAAGGACCAUUUUCACGAGUUGGUCAAAAUGGUAGGACCAAAAGUGUAAUUAAGCCUAAUAUAUAAACAAUGGAGUUGUUCAUGGCCUACUUUUUCUGUCAUGAGACAUGUUGACACAUCAUGCACUUGAAUCCAAAACGACACAAAUUAAACGACCACCUGAUUUGACGCACCAUUUUCUGGAAGUACAUCAAAGACUAAGAGAUGAUUACUGAAAUACGAGACUUUUCUUGAGGUUUUUAUGUAGGUCGAGGCAAUGAAAGAAUUGAACGUAUAAAGGCCUGGUUUGACCUCUUGAAUUUGAACACUUUUUCCAUCGUCAAAAGGUAAAUGAUUUUGUAGCUGUUAGAACAUUGGUGUGAUGUUGAAAGAAAAAAUUGGAAGAUUAAACACAAAGUAAUUGUACUUUGAUCUAAUUUUAAAUACUUAAUAAUGAUAAAAAUAAUUUAUUGGUGAAUAUCACUAUAUUUGAGUGGUCGUAGUACCAUAUUGAUAGUUUGGAGAAAUUAAAUUUAGAAUGGUGGUAACACCAUAUUUGAGUGCUCUUAGUACCAUAACAGAGUGGUAACAAUACCAUAUUAAAGCGAUUUCAGUAUUAAAGAGUGAUCUUAGUACCAUAUUUGAGGGUGUAAAUAUCGAAAGGUUUUCUACAAUGCAAUAGUUAACCACACAGUUGUAGCUGGACUUGUUUUAUCCUGGAGGAGGUGUGGUUGAUAGUUUGUCUUGCACAAUUUUGGGCAGUGCCACCAAACUUCUUAAAGAGAGCGACCUGACCGUGACUCAACCUAGUAACAACUUCGAUAGAUAUUCUUUAAAAAACUGAAUUUAGAAAUCCAAAUACAACAGUUUAUAAAUCCAAAACCAAUAAUUUUAAGACGUUUUGAUCUGCCAUUUGAAAAACAUAAUCUAUAGGGUUGUCCUGAGGAUCCAACAAUGAGUAUAAGUUAUAUUUUAAAAAGGAGUAAAUUUGCAAGUUGGUCUCUAAGAAAAAAUAUAUAAAUUAAAUUGGUCCUUAGUUAAGUCAAAAAAAAAAAAUUGUCCUCAGUAAAUAAUAAAAAUCAAUUUCAUCUUUAGCAAUAUUAUAUGAAAUAAAAUAAUUCUUUUUUAACAUUAUAUUGUAUGACACUUUAAUCUUAAUCAAUGGCUAGUUAGACCUAAAUCCUAAAAAAAAAUGCCAAUAUAUGCUAUUAAGACAUUUAUAUUAAAAGUAGAAAUUUUGUAUCGAAAAUAAAUCAUCAAAUUAAUCCCAAACUUUAUUAAUAUUUAAACUUGGGAGUAAAUCAUCAAAUUAACUGAUCAUAUCAUAUAACAAAUUAAUCCUAAACUUUAUUAAUAUUUAAAACUAGUCCCGUAUUUAUUAAAAGUUUUUCAAUGAUAUACCUUAUCAUUUAUGAAGCCCAGAUACUUUAAAAUGGAUGAUGUACUGUAUCCCCUGCGUAUCCUGCAUCGAUAUCUGUCCGAUAUUUCCCGAUAUUUUACAUUUUGAGUUUUAAUAAGUAGUUUAAAUUUAAUUUAAUUUUUCAUUGAAGUAUCGCAGCCGUAUCGUAUAUGAAAUUUUAAAUUUUUUUCAUAUCGACGUGUCCGUGCCGUACAUAUCAUGUAUAUGAUGACCUUCAUAGCUUGUCGUAUAACAAAAAACAAAAAACAAUUAAGUAGUGACUUGAAGACCAACAGUUUCAUUUGCCGAAAACCUAACUACACAUCCAACGAUGUUUCAUUCUUCUUCUUCUUCGAUGUUGCCGAGUUACUAUGUUGUUCCUGUUUCUUAUUUUGUUCCAAAAAAGUUUCAUUCUUUUCAAUUUCUUAAAAAUACCCAUUUCAAUUUCAUUCCUUAUUCUUCUUCAAAAAUAAAUUUCAUUCCUUACUCUUCAAUUUCAACCACAUUCCAUAACAACAAUGAUGUUGUUGAUGCUUUUUCUUUGUUCAGUCGCUUGCUUCGUCAGAAUCCCACUCCUCCCGCAAUCGAAUUCAAUAAGAUUUUAGGUUCCCUUGUCAAAUCCAAACAUUACCACACUGUUCUUUCUCUUUCUCAACAAAUGGAAUUUGAGGGAAUUAAUCCUGACUUUUUCACUUUCAACAUCCUCAUCAAUUGCUUUUGUCAAUUGGGUCUUAUCCCUUUUGCUUUCUCUGUUUUCGCAAAGAUUCUCAGAAUGGGUUAUCAUCCCAAUACCAUAACCUUCACUACACUCAUCAAGGGUCUUUGUCUUAAAGGUCAGAUCCAUCAAGCAUUGCUCUUUCAUGAUAAUGUGGUUGCGAUGGGAUUUCAAUUGGACCAAGUUGGUUAUGGAACCUUGAUCCAUGGCUUAUGUAAGGUAGGAGAAACAAGAGCAGCCCUUGACUUGCUCAGACGAGUUGAUGGUAAUUUGGUUCAGCCUAAUGUGGUAAUGUACAGUACCAUUAUCGAUGGUAUGUGUAAAGAUAAACAUGUUAAUGAUGCUUUUGAUUUAUAUUCUGAAAUGGUUUCUAAGGGAAUUUCUCCCAAUGUUGUUACUUACAGUGCUUUAAUUAGUGGGUUUUUCACUGUUGGUCAACUGAAAGAUGCAAUUGAUCUGUUUAAUAAAAUGAUAUUGGAAAACAUCAAACCGGAUGUGUAUACUUUUAAUAUAUUGGUUGAUGGAUUUUGUAAGGACGGAAAGAUGAAAGAAGGUAAAACUGUGUUUGCUAUGAUGAUGAAACAAGGCAUUAAACCUAAUGUUGUUACCUAUUGCUCUUUAAUGGAUGGAUAUUGCCUAGUUAAAGAAGUGAAUAAGGCUAAGAGUAUAUUAUACACUAUGUCUCAGAGGGGAGUGAAUCCUGAUAUUCAAAGUUACAAUAUCUUGAUUGAUGGGUUUUGUAAGAUUAAAAAGGUCGAUGAAGCUAUGAAUCUCUUUAAAGAAAUGCAUCACAAACAUAUUAUUCCUGAUGUGGUAACUUACAAUUCCCUUAUUGAUGGUUUGUGUAAAUUGGGGAAAAUCUCUUAUGCUUUGAAGCUAGUUGAUGAGAUGCAUGAUCGGGGUGUACCACCUGAUAUAAUUACUUACAGUUCUAUAUUGGAUGCUUUAUGCAAAAACCAUCAGGUUGACAAGGCAAUUGCGUUAUUAACAAAAUUGAAAGACCAGGGUAUUCGACCAAAUAUGUACACAUACACUAUUCUUAUUGAUGGACUGUGUAAAGGUGGAAGACUAGAAGAUGCACAUAAUAUUUUUGAGGAUCUUUUGGUCAAAGGCUAUAAUAUAACUGUCAACACAUAUACCGUUAUGAUCCAUGGGUUUUGUAACAAGGGCUUGUUUGAUGAAGCAUUGACUUUGUUGUCAAAAAUGAAAGACAAUAGUUGCAUUCCAGAUGCUGUAACUUAUGAAAUAAUCAUCCGUUCCCUGUUUGAUAAAGAUGAAAAUGAUAAGGCGGAGAAACUUCGUGAAAUGAUUACGAGAGGCCUAUUGUAAGACUGAAACUAGGUAAGAUGUUUUGCUAUAUAAACAUUGUUAUAUUGUUUUUAUAUUUCAAUUUGAUAUCGUCAUUUCAUUUUAUGUACUUGUCUCUGCUAGUGGAAAAGACUUUUUUUGUUGUUUUUGUUAACUGUGUAUAGCAAAACCUUUAUACUUCUCGUAUAUAUUCCAUUUCAGUUUCUCUAUAUUAAUAUUAUAUUACCUCAUUGAGAGUUUCAUCAAUCAAUUAUGAAAGUUGUGCACCCUCUUAUCUGCAGAUUUGGAUGUUAGUAUACCUUUCUGCUUUUAAUUUCAUUUAUUUAUUUAUCUUGAGUGAAACUUUGAAUGAUCCAAACUGUUUUAUAGACUAAUUUCGAUGGAACGGCUGCCUUAACAAAUGAUUUUAUAGCCAGCAUAUGGGGAUGAUGGACUUGGUAUGCUUGUGUAGCUAAAUUACAUUGCUGCAUAGUGAGUAUCUAAGGCCCCAUUUCAGCUUCAUAGUCAACUUAAAUAGGCCUUGAAAGAAGUACUGAGUGCUAGAAAGAUCUUGAAAUAUUGUUGUCCCCAUAGAAUCUCUUUUCCUGCAUAAUUCUAAUUUUUCAGUGUUGAGACAGAAUUUCUUAAUCGUGAUUGAACUUAAGAAAUAUCAGUUGUAGGAAAACAGGGUGGUUAAGAUUUGGCUUGAUGAGCCUAUCUUAUGGCUUCUAAAUUGAAUUGGCACAAAACAAGUAACUGCAUUUAUUUUAUCUUAGUUAUACUUGUACUUCUGCAUAAUUCUAAUCUUAGGAACCUUAACUAUUUUAGAAUGCUAAACUUAAGACUAAAAUGCUAAAACCUGAGUUGUAAACAAUAGAGACAAGCUUGACACUUAAUUGAAGAAAGCUAAAAAUGGGUAACUAAGGUCUGGCCUUGAAAUUGUUUGGUCACUAGAAAUGUAGUUUAGAAUUUAGAAAUUGCAUGCUUGUAGGAAGCAUGAUUCUAUUUCCGGCAUUAUUGUUGAUUUCAAUGUUAAAUUUGAUUCUUGGAAAUAUUGUAUGUUGUUUAAAGCUAAUUGAAUUCUUGCUUAAAUGAAAUCUAUGUUUCGAUACAUGUAUUGUUAAGUCAUAGGUUACUUUUCCUUUUCCCUUCAAACCCAAGCCUCUAAAGGUCAGAACCUCCAAACCUUGCUCUGCAUCGACUUUGGCCUGGCAUUGCGUUGACUAACAAAAUUGCCACCAUUUUUCAGUCAUCCAUUGUUUCUCGCGUUUCAAAAAUUAUUGAAUGUGGAUAGAAACUAAUGUUUCUCGUCUUAAAGAAUAUGAUUAUACAUCUGGAACAGUGAAGGUACAGGCUUGAUUUGGGAUCAGAGUGGUUUUAUCUUCAUGGCUCUACCUCGACUGAGCCCUUUCACUGCAUUGACUAACAAAAUUGCCACCCUUUUUUAGUUCUCCGUCGACUUUCUUGUAGAAAAAAAUUAUUGAAUGUUGUUGUUAGCAACCAGUGUUGCCUUUCUUAAAGAAUGUGGCUAUGCUUCUAGAUUAGGUUAGAUGCAUAUAUCAGUUUUCAAUGAUGAACAAUAGUAGUAAUGUGGUUGUGCUUAUUGAGUUCAGACCAUUUAGUUUAUGCUUUUCCUCUACCUAUUUAGUUUUAUGAUACAUAUGAACUGCACUUUGCCUCAGAAACGGAUAUGCAGCCUCAGUCGAGACAUGUUAUGACUGUAAAGACACAAUUAAUUAAUCCUGCGAAGCAUCUUGUAUUUGGCAUCCUUGUGAUUGUGAGUUUCUUCUAGUGUUUUGUACUUUUGAAAAUUUGGGGAUGGUCUAACAAAAAAACAUAAAACAAUUAAGUGACUUGAAGACCAACAGUUUCAUUUGCCGAAAACCUAACUACAGAUCCAACAAUGUUUCAUUCUUCUUCGAUGUUGCCAAGGUACUCUGUUGUUCCAAAAAAGUUUCAUUCUUUUCAAUUUCUGAAAAACACCCAUUUCAAUUUCAUUCCCUAAUUUUGCUUUUCCUCUUCUUCAAUUUCAUUUCAUAAUAACAAUGAUGCUGUUGAUUCUGUUUCUUUGUUUAAUCGUUUGCUUCGUCAGAAUCCCACUCCACCCACAAUCGAAUUCAAUAAGAUUUUAGGUUCCCUUGUCAAAUCCAAACAUUUCCACACUGUUCUUUCCCUUUCUCAAAAAAUGGAAUUUAAGGGAAUUAAGCCAAGCUUUGUCAGUUGCAACAUCCUCAUCAAUUGUUUCUGCCAACUGGGUCUUAUCUCUUUUGCUUUCUCUAUUUUGGCUAAGAUUCUCAAAAACGGUUACGAGCCUGAUACCAUAACAUUGACUACAUUCAUCAAGGUUCUCUGUCUCAAAGGUCAGAUCCAUCAAGCAUUGCACUUUCAUGACAAGGUUAUUGCGAUGGGAUUUCAUUUGGACCAAGUUAGUUAUGGAACCUUGAUUAAUGGGUUGGGUAAAGUUGGUGAAACAAAAGAAGCCCUUGAAUUGCUCCGACGAGUUGAUGGUAAAUUGGUUCAGCUUAAUGCGGUAAUGUACAAUACCGUUAUUGAUGGUAUGUGUAAAGAUAAACAUGUUAAUGAUGCUUUUGAUUUAUAUUCUGAAAUGGUUGCAAAGAGAAUUUAUCCCGGUGUUGUUACUUACAGUGCUUUAAUUAUUGGCUUUUGCAUUGUUGGUAAAUUGAAAGAUGCAAUUGGUUUGUUCAAUAAAAUGAUAUUGAAAAACAUCAUCCCGGAUGUGUAUACCUUUAGUAUAUGGUUGAUGGAUUUUGUAAGGAAGGGUGAAAGAAGCUAAAAAUGUGUUUGCUAUGAUGAUGAAACAAGACAUUAAACCUAAUGUUUUUACUUAUAACUCUUUAAUGGAUGGAUAUUGCCUAGUUAAAGAAGUGAAUAAGGCUAAGAGUAUAUUCAACACUAUGGCUCAGGGAGGAGUGAAUCCUGAUAUUCACAGUUACAAUAUCUUGAUUAAUGGGUUUUGUAAGAGUAAAAUGACCGAUGAAGCCAUGAAUCUCUUUGAAGAAAUGCAUUGUAGAAAGCUAAUUCCUGAUGUGGUAACUUACAAUUCUCUUAUCGAUGGUUUGUGUAAAUUGGGGAAAUUCUCUUACGCGUUGAAGCUAGUCGAUGAGAUGCAUGAUAGAGGUCAACCACCUAAUAUAAUUACGUACAGUUCUAUAUUGAAUGCUUUAUGCAAAAACCAUCAGGUUGACAAGGCAAUCACGUUGUUAACAAAGAUUAAAGACGAAUUCAGCCAGAUAUUUGUACAUACACAACACUUGUUGAUGGACUAUGGAAAAAUGGAAGACUAGAGGAUGCACGGAAUAUUUUUGAGGAUCUUUUGGUCAAAGGCUAUAAUAUAACUGUCAACACCUAUACCGUUAUGAUUCAAGGGUUUUGUAGCUAUGGCUUGUUUGAUGAAUCAUUGGCUUUGCUGCCAAAAAUGGAAGAAAAUGGUUGCAUUCCAAACGCCAUUACUUAUGAAAUAAUCAUCUGUUCUCUGUUUGAUAAAGAUGAAAAUGAUAAGGCGGAGAAACUUCUUCGUGAAAUGAUUAUGAGAGGCCUAUUAUAAGACUGAAACUAGGUAAUGUAUUAUAUUUAUCUGUUGUUAUAUUGUAUUUAUAUUUACGCAUAUAGAGUGUACUAAGUUAUGUAAGUUGCACCUAAUUUUGACAAAUGACUGCAUAUAAUUAUGUAGUGAAAUUUAAAAAAAAACUUAUUUUGUUAGUACGAGGUUGCAGAAAUUUCGGAAUCUGCAUGAUGUGUACUUUUUAGAUGUUUGCCUCUAAGGAAAGGUGAAGAGAAGUAAUGAAAGGCUAAUAGUGGUCUGUAAAGUCUAGGGAGGACUGGUUUUCCCCCCUUCCAAUUCCUUAUGAGAUUCUAGUAUUUUGGAAUUAAAAUUAUACAUUGCAGAAUAGAUAGUUAUUUAUUUUUACACAAUUUUCUAGUAAGUGAGUACCUAGAGAGAACUUCUUUUCCCCCUCCAAUACCUUAUGAGAUGCUAGUAUUGAACUAAGAUAGGUAGUCACUAGGUAUGAGUUGAUGUCCAUUCAUUUAUUGACUGGGCAUAGAAAUCACUAGCAACUUUUUUUGGGCUGACUAAAACCAUGCACGUUUUGCAUUGGUGGGAGAAGGUUCAACAUUAUCUGAGUAUCAUUGCUAUUGAAUACCUCAUUUCCCACAGUUAUGCAAAGUUAUUUUGAUUUGCGAAAGAUAAGGUUGAACAUGGUGCUGAAUCCAAGUUAGAUCUUUUGAAAGGUCUGUCAUAUUCUGCAGAUACUCAUUUCUUGAAUAUGGUUCCUGGUCAUUAUCUUUGAUGGCAGCGUCUGCACACUUUCUUAACAAUGAUAGCAUAUCAUAUGCAUGAGUAUGGUUCAUGAUUCACUUUUUAAAUAUCUUUUUUAGUUGAUGUGUUUAGCUGAGGUUUGCAAUGUGCAUCAAGCCAAGAGUCUAGUAAUAGGGCAAAAGUUCUUAUUGGAGAGAAUUUAUUGUGAUUGUGUGCUUACUAAAUCCAAUAUGAGGGACAAAGACGUGGAGUGUCCGUCCCUUAUAAUUUAUAGCACUUGUGAUUGGUCAAGUGUGUUAUCCAUAUCUUUUGUCACCUGCUUUGUGGUUUUGAACUUUUGCAUGCUUACCGUAUUGAUCACAUGAUGGUCCUAUGAAUUACACCUUCAUGACAGAAUUGCAAGGACAAUAUGGUAACGAUAAAUAGGAGAUGGAGGGGGAAAAGACUUUUAUUAUUGUUGCCUCCCUAAUGGGAAAAAGACUUAUUAUUGUCUCUCUCUCUCUCUCUCUCUCCCUCUCUCUCUCUCUCUCUCUCUCUCUCUCUCUCUCUCUCUUUCUCCAUGAAAUUAAACUACCUCAUUGACAGUGCAUCCAUCCAACUUGAUGGNUCAGAUAUUCAUAAGAAUCUAGUGAAGUUGUAUGGAUGUGUGACAAAGAGAACCACAUGAUUUUGUUUCAGUUCGGUCUCUCUCUCUCUCUCUCUCCCUCUCUCUCUCUCUCUCUCUCUCUCUCUCUCUCUCUCUCUCUUUCUCCAUGAAAUUAAACUACCUCAUUGACAGUGCAUCCAUCCAACUUGAUGGGGUUGCCUAAAAAAUUGAUUUGACGGCAGCAUAUGACAGCUUGUUUAAGUCCAGUUAAGUAUUUUGAACCUGGUUACUUGUGUUUGGCUGCUAGUUCUACAUUCUUGUUGUUGGAUUUGGUAAAAAAUAGACAGCAAAUCUGAAAUGAUUUGAAGAAGGAAUAGUUUUUCAUUAUUAGUGAUCUCAGAAAGUGAGGUGAUGCAUGGCUGGACACCUAAUAAUGAAGGUUAUAUUUUAGUUUGAUUUGAUCCAUGUAGCCGACCCCUCUUAGUGGGAUAAGGAUUGGUUCUUGUUGUUUAGAAUCCCAUAACACACUCUGUUUUUGUUUUGUUAAGGUUAUACAUACUUGCUAUCCUUAUUCAUCAGGACUAGGCGACUAGCAGAGAUAGUAGCAGCCACAAUCCCUUAGAGAAGGAUGUCAGUGAGCACUGAAGAGUUCUAGUUUGGUUUCAGAACUUUAUUUUUUGAGGGCAUGUAAGAUGGUUUUGUAUGUUGAUUCUUUAUUAUCAGUUCUAUUUUGUAUUUUAAAUUUUUUGGAUUUGUAUAGAUUCCUCUUACCUCGUUAAUAUGUGCAUAAUGUUAAAUAUUGUUAUCCGAAACAUGAAGUUUAUGUUGAUUAGGCACAAACAUGUUACCUCCUUUUAUAUCUAAAUAUGCUGAUAACUUAGUUGGGAGCAAGAACAUACAUCUUAUAAGCAUGUGAAUCUAAAUUCUGAAACUGAUGAUUGUGUACAGGUUGUAUUGCUUUGUAAGUGUACAGGUUGGCCUAAGUGGAUAAGUGAAAAUGGAUUUGUGCUGUCUUGAGAAUUGUGCUACAUAAUUAUGCAGGAUAGGUGCCAAUGUGGUGGGAAGGGAAAAUGUGCAUGCAUUAUAACUGGAAUGGAAUUUUUUUGUGAAUAUUUGAUACUGAUAUUGAUAAUGUCAUGCAUUAUUGCUGGUAGUUGUGGAUGUGAUAUGUAAAUAAAUUUUGGUGAACAUUUGAUAAUUGUAUUUAUGUAUAUAUUUUUAGCUUAUUUGUAAUUGUAUUUAUGUAUAUAUUUUAAAAAAAAAAUUGUAAACAGAAACCAACUUGUUGACUAUUUGAAAGUUACUGGGACAAGUGAGUCUAGGGUGAAGCUCUUAUUGGAGAUAGAGGGACAAAGGCUUGGAGUCUCCGUUACUUACUCCCUCCGUCCCAAAUUGUAUGUCGCUUUAGGAGAAAAAAUUUGUCCCAAAUUAUAUGUCGCUUUACAAUACCCAUGCAACAUUAUUGUUACUUUUUCAAUUAUAACCUUAAUUAUUUAUUACUCUCUCUUCUUUCAAUUCUUUCAUUUAUCUUUCCCAUAUUAUUUAUUAAGGAUAAUUUUGUAAAACAAUGCAUAAUAUCUAUUUUCCACACAAUAUUAAUUGCAUUUCUUAAUAUGUGUGAAAUGCUUAAAAUGUCAUACAAUUUGGAGAGUAUUAUUUAUAACACUUAUGAUUGGUUAAGUGAGUUAUCCAUAUUUUUUGUCACCUGCUAUGUGGUUUUGACCUUUUGCAUGCUUACUGUAUUGAUUACUUGUUCAUCCUAUGAAUUACACCUUCAUGACAGAAUGACAAUGAUGAUAUAGUAAAGAGGAGAUGGAGGGGCUUUUCUGUUUGUUAAUCUCCUCUUAGAAAUCUGAUGACAGAUAAACCAAACAAAUUCUUCAAAUCAAAACCAAAGAGGCAACAUUAUGUGCUACUAUUUGCUACUGAUAUUGCUUGUAGUUGUGGAUGUGAUGUAAGUUGUAUGUCAAAUGUUAAUUUAAUUAGCAAUUAUAAAUUCCAAUUAAAGAAAUCGUACAUAAAUGUGUUAAAUGCAUGAAACCUAAAUUUUCUGAGUUUAGGGACAAGCAAGUUUUUCAACUUUCAACAACUUUAGUAUGAAUUUUAACUUUUAUGAUUUUAUAGGAUUACGAUGAAGAAUUUUGAAAUUCUUAACUUUUAUGUGUCAUAUGAAAUUCUUUAAAUUUAAAUUGAACAAAAUACUUCGUAAGUUGUAUGAAUUUUAACUUUUAUUUAACUUUUAUGAUUUGAUAGGAUACAUAAUCGACUAUUUCUAAGUUGGCUUGGUAGUAAGCUUGAGUUUAACUUUUCAUCUAAUUUUAUUAAAAAAAUAAAACUUGAGUUUAACAUUUUUAGGUUAUUUGUAAUUGUAUUUAUUUAUUUUUUUGAAAAUUGUAAACAUAAUUUAUUUAAAUUACAUUUUUGAUAUAAUGAUCUAUGAAUAAAAGUUUGUUUUCGUUAAAAACGAAAAACUCAUCCUUGACUAUAAAAAAGAAAAGCUUUUGAUGCUUAUAAAAAGUUUGAUACAAUUGCAAUGAACUACCUACCAAGGAAUUGAGUCACUAUUUUAGUUAUUUAAUUAUAAUUUUUAGGCUCCAAAUAACUAUAAUAAUUUAGGGCAUUUUAGAUCUUAAAAAUGUAAGUUAUUCGGAGACUAAAAAUUAUAAUUAAAUAACUUAAAUGGCCUAAACUUUACGAAAAAAUACUUAAAAGACUAAUUUGUUACAAUAAAUAACUGAAAGGACGUAAGUGAUAUGAAGGUUUCUAAGAGAAUUGGGAACCAAAAGCAUCUCUACAAUUACUGAGACGUGUUGAUCGGAAAUUGGUUCAGCCUAAUGUGGUAAUGUAUAAUACGAUUAUUGAUGGUAUGUGCAAAGGUAAAUUUGUUAAUGAUGCUUUUGAUUUAUAUUUUGAAAUGGUUUCUAGGAGAACUUCUCCUAAUGUUGUCACUUAUAGUGCUUUAAUUAGUGGAUUUUGCAUUGUUGGUAAACUGAGAGAUGCAAUUGAUUUCUUUAAUAAAAUGAUAUUCGAAAACAUCAACCCAAAUGUGUAUACUUUUACUAUAUUGGUUGAUGGUUUUUGUAAGGAAGGAAGGGUGAAAGAAGCUAAAAAUGUGUUAGCUAUGAUGAUGAAACAAGGCAUCAAACCUGACGUUGUUACUUAUAACUCUUUAAUGGAUGGAUACUGCAUAGUUAAAGAAGUGAAUAAGGCUAAGAGUAUAUUAAACACUAUGUCUCAGAGGGGAGUGAAUCCUGAUAUUCACAGCUACAACAUCAUGAUUAAUUAACGGGUUUUGUAAGAUUAAAAUGGUGGAUGAAGCCAUGAAACUUUUCAGAGAAAUGCAUCGCAAACAAAUUUUUCCGUAGUACCCUUAUCGAUGUAUUGUGCAAAUCUAGAAGAGUAUCAUAUGCUUUGGAACUUGUCGAUGAGAUGCAUGAUCGAGGGCAACAACCUGAUAUAAUUACCUACAAUUCUAUAUUGGAUGCUUUAUGCAAAAAACAUCAUGCUGGCAAAGCAAUUGCGUUAUUAACAAAAUUGAAAGACCAGGGUAUUCGACCAAAUAUGAACACAUACACCAUUCUUGUCAAGGGAUUGUGCCGAAGUGGAAAAUUGGAGGAUGCACGAAAAGUUUUUGAAGAUCUUGGCUACAAUCUUGAUGUCUAUGCAUAUACCGUUAUGAUCCAAGGGUUUUGUGACAAGGGCUUGUUUGAUGAAGUGUUGGCCUUGCUGUCAAAAAUGGAAGAGAAUGGAUGCAUUCCAGAUGCUAAAACUUAUGAAAUAAUUAUCCUUUCUCUGUUCGAAAAAGAUGAAAAUGAUAUGGCAGAGAAACUUCUUCGUGAAAUGAUCAUGCGAGGUCUAUUGUAAGACUGAAACUAUUUGAUAGCAUCAUUUCAUUUUAUGUACCUGCCUCUACUGGUGGAAAAGAAACAUUUUUUUAUUGUUUUUGUUAAUUGUGUUUACCAAAACCUUUAUACUUCUUGUAUAUCUUCCAUUUUGAUUUCUCUAUAUGAUAUUGUCUUACCUCAUCGAGAGUUCCAUCAAUCAAUGAUGAAAGUUGUGCAUCAAAUUACAUAUGUAGAAAGUUACACAUAUGUGUUAAAUGCAUGAAACCAAAAUUACACCUGAGAGGUUUUAAGUUAUUUAACUAUAAUAAUUUGGGGCAUUUUAGAAAGUUAUUCGAAGCUUAAAUAUUAUAAUUAAAUAACUUAAAUGACUUAAAUGUUAUGAAAAAUAUUUAAAAGACUAACUUAUUACAAAUAAAGAACUGAAAGGACGUAAGUGAUAUGAAGAAAAAAAAACUUAAAAUAACCAAUUUAUUAGAAUUAAGUAACUUAAAAGGAAUUUUGAUUUUAUUUAACCUGACAUCUUUAAGUGAUGAUUUGUAAAUACUCUCUUCAUUCAUAUUAAUAAAUAUUUUUAAAAUUUAUUAAAUAAUUGAUGUAUUUGAAAUAUAAUAUAGCAUUAAUACAUCAAUUAUUUAAUGAAUUUGAAGAGGAAAAAAUUGUUUAUAAAUGUGAGCACAAAGAAUAAUCUACAAGAAUUUUAAAGAGAUCUCAUUAUACACCCAUUUCAUCCUGUUUCUGUUUCUCUUUUUGUUUCAAAGAGUUUUAAAGAGUUUUAAAGAAAUAUAACAUAGCAUUAAUACGUUGUUCUUGUUUCUCUUUUUGUUUCAAAAAAGUUUCAUCCUUUUCAUUUUCUGAUAAACACCCAUUUCUAUUUCAUUCCUUAUUCUUCACCUUCAAACACAUUCCAUAAUAACAAUGAUGUUGUUGAUGAUGCUGUUUCUUUGUUCAAUCACUUGCUAUCUCAGAAUCCCAAUCCACCCGCCUUCGAAUUCGGUAAGAUUUUAGGUUCCAAACAUUAUUGCACUGUUCUUUCCCUUUCUCAAAUUAUGGAAUUUUUAGGAAUUAAACCUGACUUGGUCAAUUGCAACAUCCUCACCAAUUGUUUCUGUCAAUUGGGUCUUAUCCCUUUUUCUUUUUCUGUUUUGGCUAAGAUUCUUAAGAUGGGUUACGAGCCGGAUACCAUAACAUUGAAUACACUCAUCAAGGGUCUCUGUCUCAAAGGUGACAUCCAUCAAGCAUUGCACUUUCAUGACAAGCUGGUUGCAAUUGGAUUUAUGUUGGACCAAUUUAGUUAUGGAACCUUGAUCAAUGACUUGUGUAAAGCUGGUGAAACAAAAGCCGCCCUUGAAUUACUACGACGAGUUGAUGGAAAACUGGUUCAACCUGAUGUGGUAAAGUACAUUGCGAUUAUUGAUAGUAUGUGUAAAGAUAAACAUGUUAAUCAUGCUUUUGAUUUAUAUUCUAAAAUGGUUUCUAAGAGAAUUUCCCCUGAUAUUCUCACUUACAAUGCUUUAAUUAGUGACUUUUGCAUUGUUGGUAAAUUGAAAGAUGCAAUUGGUUUUUUCAAUAAAAUGACAUUGGAAAACAUAUACCUUUAAUAUAUUCGUUGAUGCAUUUUGUAAGGAAGGAAAAGUAAAAGAAGCUAAAAAUGUGUUUGUUGUUAUGAUGAAAAAAGGUUUCAAACCUAACUUUGUUACUUAUAACUCUUUAAUGGAUGGAUAUUGCUUACUUAAAGAAGUGAAUAAGGCUAAGAGUAUAUUCAACACUAUGGCUCAGGAGGGAGUGAAUCCUGCUAUUCAAAGUUACAAUAUCUUGAUUAAUGGGUUUUGUAAGAUUAAAAAGGUUGAUGAAGCCAUAAAUCUCUUUGAAGAAAUGCAUUGUAGAAAAUUAAUUCCUGAUGUGGUAACUUACAAUUCCCUUAUCGAUGGUUUGUGUAAAUCUGGAAAAAUCUCUUAUGCUUUGAAGCUAGUUGAUGAGAUGCAUGAUAGAGGUCAGCCACCUGAUAUAAUUACUUAGAGUUCUAUAUUGGAUGCUUUAUGCAAAAACUAUCAGGUUGACAAGGCAAUCACAUUAUUAACAAAAUUGAAAGACCUGGGUAUUCAACCAAAUAUGUACACAUACACCAUUCUUAUUGAUGGAUUGUGUAAAGGUGGAAGAGUAAAUGAUGCACAAAAUAUUUUUGAGGAUCUUUUAGUCAAGGGCUAUAAUGUAACUGUCAACACAUAUACCGUUAUGAUUCAAAUAUUAGUUUUAACCUAAAGUAAUUUAAUAUAUAUUGGUUCAUGUACACAUAUCUUAGUACAAAUAUCUUAGUAUUAAAUUACUUUUUGCAUAUGCAUUAUUCUGAUUAACUAUAGUAAGAUUUAGGUUACAAACCAAGCUAUCUACGGUUGUGGUUAAUAAGGUGUGACCUUUUGUCUUCUAGGAUGAAAACCCGAUUUAAACAUUAUUUUAGUCAAGUUACUUGUUCAUUGGUUAUAUAUUCAUCCUACUUUGACUUAUACACUAGUCUAAUUAUCUAUAGUAAGAGUUAACUUACAAACCAAGCUAUCUACGGUUUUGUUCAAUAAGGUGUGACCUUUCGUCUUCUAGGAUGAAAAUUUGAUUUAAACAAUAUUUUAGUCAAGUUACUUGUUAAUUGGUUAUAUAUUCAUCCUACUUUGACUUAUACACUAGUCUAAUUAACAAUAGCAAGACUUAAUCACAAACCAAGCUAUCUACGGUUAUGCUCAACAAUGUGUGACCUUUCGUCUUCCAGGAUGAAAAAUCGAUUUAAACAUUAUUUUAGUCAAGUUACUUGUUCAUAGGUUAUAUAUUCAUCAUACUUUGAACUUAUAAACUAGUCUAAUUAUCUAUAGUACAACUUAGCUUACAAACCAAACUAUCUACGGUUUUGGUCAACAAGGUGUGACCUUUCAUCUUCCAAGAUGAAAACUCGAUUUAAACAAUAUUUUAGUCAAGUUACUUGUUCAUCGGUUAUAUAUUCAUCCUAGUUUGACUUAUAGACUAGUCUAAUUAACUAUAGUAAGACUUAGCUUACAACCCAAGCUAUCUACGGUUUUGGUCAACAAGGUGUGACCUUUCGUCUUCCAGGAUGUAAACUUUAUUUAAACAUUAUUUUAGUCAAGUUAUUUGUUCAUUGAUUAUAUAUUUGAUGUAGUAUUUUUGCAUCAAACAAUAGUAAGUAUUUAUAUCGUCUCCUUAGGGACUAGUGCGAUAUCACAGACCGUUCGACACUAAAUAUCAUUCUAAGUUAAAAUAUAAUUUGUUGUUUGUUUUAGUAACUAAAUUGCUAAUAAUAAAAUUGAGAUUAAUAAGGCGUGAAACUUGUUAGGAUUAGAGUUCCUUGAUCAAGCGUCACACGUAACCUAAUGACCAUACGUGUCCCUCGACAACACCAUUCGUGUCCAAACAAUAUUGUGAAAUCAAUUGUAUUAUUUAAUCGUCGAUGUCUCAAACUAUUGAAUGAUUCAAGAGUCGGUCUUAUCGUUCAAUAAAUGAUUUCUCAAUCUAUUGAAUGAUAAGAAAGCUUUAAGUUUGGAUACAAAAGGUGAUUAUCAAAACAUCAAUUCCAUGUCUAGAACUUAUGUUUUGAUAGAUGAUUAUUCUAAACAGAGAUUCAAAAGUAUUUCUCAAUCACAAUUAAAUCAAACAUAAGCAUUAAAGUGCAAGAAUAACAUCAAUUUCAAAUCAAAUGCUAGAAUCAUAUAUUUAUAGAUCAAAAGAUUACAUGUUAAGCUAGGAUCAAGUACCUCUAAUCCCAACAAAGGAGAUUUAACUACUCAUUGUCAUGGAAGCCUUGCAAGAAAUAAUUGAAAGAGAAGAAUGCAUUAAUAACUUGUGAUCUCUCAACAAAAUGAGGAAGAAUCCACUUUCUAUCACUCUCACUCUAUUAGAACAAGCCCUAUUUCUCUCUCUAAAAAUAUUCAUCCUAUUUUUUACAUAUACAUUAUUCUAAUUAACUAUAGUAAGACUUAGCUUACAACCCAAGCUAUCUACGGUUGUGGUCAACAAGGUGUGGCCUUUCGUCUUCCAUGCUGAAAACUCGAUUUAAACAUUAUUUUAGUCAAAUUACUUGUUCAUUGGUUAUAUAUUCAUCCUACUUUGACUUUAUACACUACUCUAAUUAACUAUAGUAAGACUUAACUUACACACCAAGCUAUCUAAGGUUGUGGUCAACAAGGUGUGACCUUUCGUCUUCCAGGAUGAAAACUCGAUUUAAACAUUAUUUUAGUCAAGUUACUUGUUCAUUGAUUAUAUAUUCAUCAUACUUUGACUUAUACACUAAUCUAAUUAUCUAUAGUACGACUUAGCUUACAAACCAAGCUAUCUAUGACUUUGGUCAACAAGGUGUGACAUUUCGUCUUCCAAGCUUAGUGUACAUGAACCAAUAUAAAUUAAAUUUUAUACUAAGAUAUGUGUACGUGAACCAAUAUAUAUUAAAUUACUUUAUGUUAAAACCAUGGAUUUGGAAUCAUUAUUGCUAUAAAUGUGUUUGCUUACUAUUUAAAGUAUUUUUUAGAAUGACCGAUAAAAAGACUGUCAUGUGUCAAAUUUUGCUCCGCAAUGUUUGUUUCAUUCUUCUUCAUAAAGAGAGACCACAAACUGAGAUCAAGACAUCCUAAAACUUAGCAGAUGAAGAACUAGCAAUGUUUCCUUUUUCUUCAUAAAUUCAAUUCAACGUCACAACAAUGUUUCAUUAUUCAACAAAAUGUUUUUGAGGUACUGUGUUGUUCCUGUUUCUCUUUUUCUUCCCAAAAAUUUUCAUCCUUUUCAAUUUCUAAACAACACUCAUUUCUAUUUCAUUCCUUCUUUUUCCUUAUCCUCUUCUUCAACUUCAACCAAUGAUGUUGAUAAUGCUGUUUCCAUGUUCAAUCACUUGCUCCAUAAGAAUUCCACUCCACCUGACAUCGAAUUCGGUAAGAUUUUAGGUUCUCUUGUCAAAUCCAAACAUUACCACAACGUUGUUUCCCUUUCUCAAAAAAUGGAAUUUGAGGGAAUCAAACUUGACUUAGUCAAUUGCAGCAUCCUCAUCAAUUCUUUCUGUCAAUUGGGUCACAUCCCUUUUGCUUUUUCUGUUUUGGCAAAGAUUCUCAAAAACGGUUACGAGCCAGAUACCAUAACCUUCACUACACUCAUCAAGGGUCUUUGUCUCAAAGGUGACAUCCAUCAAGCAUUGCACUUUCAUGAUAAGGUUAUUGCGAUGGGAUUUCAUUUGGACCAAGUUAGUUAUGGAACCUUGAUUAAUGGCUUGUGUAAAGUUGGUGAAACAAGAGCAGCCCUUGAAUUGCUCCGACGGGUUGAUGGAAAAUUGGUUCAGCUUGAUGCGGUAAUGUACAGUUCGAUUAUUGAUAGCAUGUGUAAAGAUAAACAUGUUAAUGAUGCUUUUGAUUUAUAUUCUGAAAUGGCUGCAAAGAGAAUUUCUCCUAAUGUUGUCACUUAUAGUGCUUUAAUUAGUGGAUUUUGCAUUGUUGGUAAAUUGAAAGAUGCAAUUGAUUUGUUUAAUAAAAUGAUAUUGGAAAACAUCAAUCCGAAUGUGUAUACCUUUAGUAUAUUGGUUGAUGGAUUUUGUAAGGAAGGAAGGGUGAAAGAAGCUAAAAAUGUGUUAGCUAUGAUGAUGAAACAAGGCAUUAAACCUGAUGUUGUUACUUACAGCUCUUUAAUGGAUGGAUAUUGUCUGGUAAAUGAAGUGAACAAGGCCGAGAGUAUAUUCAACACUAUGUCUCAUAGGGGAGUGACUGCUAAUGUUCAGAGCUACAGUAUCAUGAUUAAUGGAUUUUGUAAGAUUAAA
rnacentral:lncRNA from 1 species